CGGUGGUCCCACCUGACCCCAUGCCGAACUCAGAAGUGAAACGCCGUAGCGCCGAUGGUAGUGUGGGGUCUCCCCAUGCGAGAGUAGGGAACUGCCAGACA
rnacentral:rRNA from 1 species